GUUCUGGGUUUACAAUCGAUCUGUGUCUCACUCUUUCAUUAAUUUCUUGGUUUUCAGUUGAAGUAUCGGGCUCGUGGUCAACUGAUCUUGCUCUUGGAGACUUGGUUCGAUUCAGAAAUUUUCAAGCUCGGAUACAAGAGUAUGUUGAAGCUGCAAGCUUCUGUCAAUUCUGGAGGGGCUUUUGAAUGCCAGGUUUUGCAGCUUUAACAGCUUUAAGAUGAGAGCAACCCAGAUGUGUCUCUGUUCUUCGAUGAUUCUGAGAAGCUUCUCAAUUAUAUCACCAGAGCUCUUUCAACCAAGUGUAGACUUCAGAAAAAUUGGUGGCCAUGUUCACCAGUU